AUGUCCCUCCGGCGGACCGUCGGUCUCGUCCUCUCACGGAGGUUCUCGCCGCGGGUGAUCCGAAGGGCGGCUCCUGCACGCUCUUUCCACACCUUGAAGGAACUCCCUGUAGGUGAUGGCCUUCGUGGUGCUGCUGGUGUGGCCGCGGCUGCGAUUGCCGGUGUUGGAGCCUGGGCAGUUCAGUAUUUCAGGAAAGGCCCAGAUGAUGACGAGUCAGCUGCUCGCAAGAAAGAGGAGGACAUGAAGGCGAGGUUCGAGGAUUGGAUGAAGGAGUACAACAAGACAUACCGCGACGAGGAAGAGAAGGCUAUGCGGUUCCAAGUGUUCAAGGACACCGUCAAGUCGAUUGAAUCGUUGCCCCCAUCUACCCAGAAGAAGUUGCUUCCACCUAAUGGUUUUGCAGACUUAACAAGCAAGGAACUCCCGUGCAUCGAGCCCUGUAUCGAUGAUGAUUUAGAUGAUAUAGACGGCGAAGAGUACCGCCAGAACAAGUUCCUUGCCGAGAAUGAGAACGGAGAAGAAGUCGUAUGGUAG
rnacentral:rRNA from 1 species